GGGAAGGUAGCUCAGUGGUAGAGUGCUUGCCUUGCAUGCAUGAGGCCCUGGGUUUGAUUCCACAGCACCACCU
rnacentral:tRNA from 1 species